rnacentral:tRNA from 1 species
GCCUCAAUAGCUCAGCUGGUAGAGCAACUGACUUGUAAUCAGUAGGUCGCUGGUUCGAUCCCGGCUUGGGGCU